rnacentral:lncRNA from 1 species
UAUGCACUGGAAAUUAAGGUAGCGUGUGUUGUCCAGGUUUGUUUGGUUUUCUCCAUAUGACACGUCAACGCUACAUUAUCGGCUUUUUUUCGGUUUUCUCCAGAUUUCUUUCGAUUGCGAGGUAAGCUAUAAGUUGAAGUGGGUCCAUACUGAUAUGCCUUGGUGUACCUAUCAUUGCCAUUGAUUAAUAUGGCUAAUAUCAUUUGUAAAUGGGAACCAGAAUCUCUUGUUGUAUACAUAACUCUAUAGAAUCGUUGUGCGUAAGUGUAUAUGUGAUCGU